rnacentral:rRNA from 1 species
GACGAACGCUGGCGGCGUGCUUAACACAUGCAAGUCGAACGGAAAGGCCCUUCGGGGUACUCGAGUGGCGAACGGGUGAGUAACACGUGGGUGAUCUGCCCUGCACUUUGGGAUAAGCCUGGGAAACUGGGUCUAAUACCGAAUAGGACCACGCGCUUCAUGGUGUGUGGUGGAAAGCUUUUGCGGUGUGGGAUGGGCCCGCGGCCUAUCAGCUUGUUGGUGGGGUAAUGGCCUACCAAGGCGACGACGGGUAGCCGGCCUGAGAGGGUGACCGGCCACACUGGGACUGAGAUACGGCCCAGACUCCUACGGGAGGCAGCAGUGGGGAAUAUUGCACAAUGGGCGCAAGCCUGAUGCAGCGACGCCGCGUGAGGGAUGACGGCCUUCGGGUUGUAAACCUCUUUCAAUAGGGACGGAGCGCAAGUGACGGUACCUAUAGAAGAAGCACCGGCCAACUACGUG